GACGUGAGGAAAUCGUUCGAGUAGAGAGAAAAUUAAGAACUUUGUUUUAGAGGGAUGCGACGUCCUUUCCUCCGAUGCGUCACGUGAAUUCGUCAGCUGUGUGGACGGAGUUAGUAACGCCUUUCAGCUGCAUGGCUUCCGGGAAGGCUGGUCUCUGCAU